UCUCUCGUGGCUUAGUUGGUUAGAGCAUUAGUGCGUAAAGCCAAAGGUCCCGGGUUCGAUACCCGGCGGGGGGU
rfam:Agrilus planipennis Contig38182, whole genome shotgun sequence.